GUGCUUGCUUAGGCAGCACAUAUAUUAAAACUGGAACAAUACAAAGAUGAUUAGCAUGGCCCCUGUGCAAGGAUGACAUGCAAAUUCCUGAAGUGUGCCAUAUUUUU